rnacentral:rRNA from 1 species
UCCGGAGGGUGCAAUCAUUAAUCGGAUUUAUUGGGCGUAAAGGGCGCGUAGGCGGGGAGAUAAGUCAGAUGUGAAAUCCCGGGGCUCAACCCCGGAACAGCAUUUGAAACUAUCUCUCUAGAGGAUAGGCGGAGAAAACGGAAUUCCACAAGUAGCGGUGAAAUGCGUAGAUAUGUGGAAGAACACCGGUGGCGAAGGCGGUUUUCUAGCUUAGACCUGACGCUGAGGCGCGAAAGCAAGGGGAUCAAACAGG